rnacentral:rRNA from 1 species
UACGGAGGGUGCAAGCGUUAUCCGGACUUACUGGGUUUAAAGGGUGUGUAGGCGGACUUUUAAGUCAGCGGUGAAAUCCCGGGGCUCAACCCCGGAACUGCCAUUGAUACUAUUGGUCUUGAAUGUUGUUGAGGUGGGCGGAAUACAUCAUGUAGCGGUGAAAUGCUUAGAGAUGAUGUAGAACACCGAUUGCGAAGGCAGCUCACUGAGCAACGAUUGACGCUGAGGCACGAAAGCGUGGGGAUCAAACAGG